UACGGGGGGGGCAAGCGUUGUUCGGAAUUACUGGGCGUAAAGGGCUCGUAGGUGGCCAACUAAGUCAGACGUGAAAUCCCUCGGCUUAACCGGGGAACUGCGUCUGAUACUGGACGGCUUGAGUUUGGGAGAGGGACGCGGAAUUCCAGGUGUAGCGGUGAAAUGCGUAGAUAUCUGGAGGAACACCGGUGGCGAAGGCGGCGUCCUGGACCAACACUGACACUGAGGAGCGAAAGCCAGGGGAGCAAACGGG
rnacentral:rRNA from 1 species